GGAUGUGAGGGAGAUCUGGCUGUAACAUCUGUCAUUUCCAUUGAUUGGCAGGGUUGAUGCAGUUGAUCUGGCUGGCUAGACAAGUGUCCCUGUCCUCCCUUAUCUCUCUAUGCAUGUCACAUCAGAAGUUAUGUGCAUGAUCAAACAGGGCCAACUUGCGCUAAAGAGGAAUGCUCUUCAGUCAAAGGUAGAUGACUAGCCGUGCUACCCUAUUAGAGCCUCAAAAUAGGUUUCCAAGGGAUAACCACAACACCCUAAAACAGUGUCAAAAGUACGCCGACCUCUAUAGAUUGAGAGUUGGAGCAAGGAGAGAGGGACAAGAUCCCCUUUUCUUUCUU
rnacentral:snRNA from 1 species